UGAAUAUGGGGGGACCAUCCUCCAAGGCUAAAUACUCCUGACUGACCGAUAGUGAACCAGUACCGUGAGGGAAAGGCGAAAAGAACCCCGGCGAGGGGAGUGAAAAAGAACCUGAAACCGUGUACGUACAAGCAGUGGGAGCACAGAGCAAUCUGUGUGACUGCGUACCUUUUGUAUAAUGGGUCAGCGACUUAUAUUCUGUAGCAAGGUUAACCGAAUAGGGGAGCCGAAGGGAAACCGAGUCUUAACUGGGCGUUAAGUUGCAGGGUAUAGACCCGAAACCCGGUGAUCUAGCCAUGGGCAGGUUGAAGGUUGGGUAACACUAACUGGAGGACCGAACCGACUAAUGUUGAAAAAUUAGCGGAUGACUUGUGGCUGGGGGUGAAAGGCCAAUCAAACCGGGAGAUAGCUGGUUCUCCCCGAAAGCUAUUUAGGUAGCGCCUCGUGAAUUCAUCUCCGGGGGUAGAGCACUGUUUCGGCAAGGGGGUCAUCCCGACUUACCAACCCGAUGCAAACUGCGAAUACCGGAGAAUGUUAUCACGGGAGACACACGGCGGGUGCUAACGUCCGUCGUGAAGAGGGAAACAACCCAGACCGCCAGCUAAGGUCCCAAAGUCAUGGUUAAGUGGGAAACGAUGUGGGAAGGCCCAGACAGCCAGGAUGUUGGCUUAGAAGCAGCCAUCAUUUAAAGAAAGCGUAAUAGCUCACUGGUCGAGUCGGCCUGCGCGGAAGAUGUAACGGGGCUAAACCAUGCACCGAAGCUGCGGCAGCGACGCUUAUGCGUUGUUGGGUA
rnacentral:rRNA from 1 species